rnacentral:rRNA from 1 species
CAAGGCGACGAUCCCUAGCUGGUCUGAGAGGAUGACCAGCCACACUGGAACUGAGACACGGUCCAGACUCCUACGGGAGGCAGCAGUGGGGAAUAUUGCACAAUGGGCGCAAGCCUGAUGCAGCCAUGCCGCGUGUAUGAAGAAGGCCUUCGGGUUGUAAAGUACUUUCAGCGGGGAGGAAGGUGUUGUGGUUAAUAACCGCAGCAAUUGACGUUACCCGCAGAAGAAGCACCGGCUAACUCCGUGCCAGCAGCCGCGGUAAUACGGAGGGUGCAAGCGUUAAUCGGAAUUACUGGGCGUAAAGCGCACGCAGGCGGUCUGUCAAGUCGGAUGUGAAAUCCCCGGGCUCAACCUGGGAACUGCAUUCGAAACUGGCAGGCUUGAGUCUUGUAGAGGGGGGUAGAAUUCCAGGUGUAGCGGUGAAAUGCGUAGAGAUCUGGAGGAAUACCGGUGGCGAAGGCGGCCCCCUGGACAAAGACUGACGC